AUUGAACGCUGGCGGCAUGCUUUACACAUGCAAGUCGAACGGCAGCGCGGGCUUCGGCCUGGCGGCGAGUGGCGAACGGGUGAGUAAUGCAUCGGAACGUGCCCAGCAGUGGGGGAUAGCCCGGCGAAAGACGGAUUAAUACCGCAUACGACCUGAGGGUGAAAGCGGGGGAGCGAAAGGCCUCGCGCUAUUGGAGCGGCGGAUGUCGGAUUAGCUAGUUGGUGGGGUAAAGGCUUACCAAGGCGACGAUCCGUAGCUGGUCUGAGAGGACGACCAGCCACACUGGAACUGAGACACGGCCCAGACUCCUACGGGAGGCAGCAGUGGGGAAUGUUGGACAAUGGGGGCAACCCUGAUCCAGCCAUGCCGCGUGCGGGAAGAAGGCCUUCGGGUUGUAAACCGCUUUUGUUCGGGAAGAAAUCCUCUGGGCUAAUACCCCGCGGGGAUGACGGUACCGGAAGAAUAAGCACCGGCUAACUACGUG
rnacentral:rRNA from 1 species